UACAGAGGUCCCGAGCGUUGUUCGGAUUCACUGGGCGUAAAGGGUGCGCAGGUGGGUUGGCAAGUUUGAUGUGAAGCCCCGGGCUUAACCCGGGAAUGGCAUUGAAUACUGCUGAUCUGGAGGAUCGGAGGGGGACUGGAAUUCUUGGUGUAGCAGUGAAAUGCGUAGAUAUCAAGAGGAACACCAGUGGCGAAGGCGAGUCCUGGACGAUACCUGACAGCUGAGGCACGAAAGCCAAGGCAGCAAACAGGAUUA
rnacentral:rRNA from 1 species